CCUACGGGAGGCAGCAGUGGGGGAUAUUGCACAAUGGGGGAAACCCUGAUGCAGCGACGCCGCGUGGGCGAAGAAGUAUUUCGGUAUGUAAAGCCCUAUCAGCAGGGAAGAAGAAAUGACGGUACCUGAGUAAGAAGCACCGGCUAAAUACGGGCCAGCAGCCGCGGUAAUACGUAUGGUGCAAGCGUUAUCCGGAUUUACUGGGUGGAAAGGGAGCGCAGGCGGCACGGCAAGCCUGUUGUGAAAGCCCGCGGCCCAACCGCGGGACUGCAUUGGGAACUACCGGGCUGGAGUGCAGGAGAGGUAGGCGGAAUUCCUAGUGUAGCGGUGCAAUGCGUAGAUAUUAGGAGGAACACCAGUGGCGAAGGCGGCCUACUGGACGGUGACUGACGCUGAGGCUCGAAAGCGUGGGGAGCAAACAGGAUUAGAUACCCGAGUAGUC
rnacentral:rRNA from 1 species